CAGCAUCUAAUGCACUCAUAUAAAAGCUUAAAUAAAGGACUGUAUGAAUAGCCCAUAGCUCAGUAAUCACACAUACUUAUGUAGUCAAAAUUAUGAAAACCUAAUAGUAAAGCCAGGUUGCUGAUAUAAACCUGGAAGCAUAAGAAUGCAAUCAGACGCAUGAUUUUAACAGACAUAGUACGAAGUUCCAGUAGUAGAUCCAACAUAACCGAGAGUGACAUGGUUCGAUAGGACAUAUUACAUCAUUAGGUUCAUAUAUACAGACCAUUAAGGCCCAGUAGAUAGAUUCGGAAGAACCGACAGUGUCAUGGUUGGAUAGGACACAUACUACAUAGGGCUAUAGAUAGCUGGGAGCAACGACUGGCUCUAACGAUGAUAGCGGUGAUCUGAUUGUUCUUGCAGGGCCAUUAGAAGUGAUCUUCAGGUAGAACACGGUAGUCAUCAGAGCAGUAUCCUUCACUGUCAAAGAUCUGUUCAUCAUCAAGGAAGGUCCUCAUCUCUGGGUCGUAUGGUGGAUUUUCAUCGCUUUGGGUUGGCAGGUCCUCAUCUUCAUCAGUUGAUUGCUCCUGGCCAUAGGGAUAGAUACCGGUCUCUUGAAGGUUGACCAUGGCCUCAUCAGUGUACUGUUGAAGGUAUUCGCAACUGGCAUCUACAUUGAGAAGAACGUUGUUGAGCUCCAGGUCAUCUGGAGUAGAUCCUGGAGUCAGCCUGCUGUUAACCAGAUGCUUAAGGUUGUUGACGAUCCUCUGCUCUGUGUCCAGGGAUCCAUCCCAUCCUUUGCUCAGGAGCUUGUUUGUGGUAAUGCUCUCUUUCAGCUUCUAUUUCAGAGAUGCAGCGUUCUUUUCCAUCACCUUAAGCUGCUGACCCAACAGUACAUUUGCCUUUUCCACAUUCAUCAGUUGAUCAUAAUGGUAAUCUUUAGGAACCACACCCUCGUAAGCAUCCAUGUACUUAAUCACUGCAGCAACCACGUAAUCCUGAGCUAUCUCUAGAUCUUGGUGCUCUGAGGUAGACAGGGAAACUUUGUCAGGUGACUUUCCCAGCCUGAUCUUGAUUGGGUAAAAGCUAACAGUGACCUGCAAAUGCGUGUCGUCUUUUGGGGAUGCUGAGUAGGUGGCCGCUGGAAGGCCAACCUUUUCUAACAUAGCGUCAAGCAGGACCUUAGACGAAACUGGAACAGACGCCAUUGCUGGGACCUGCUGCAGGUGAGAAAAAAAUGUCAGUACCAAAAAUAUUUGACCGCAAGUGUAGUACCAUCUGCAGGUCUGUAUGGAUAAGAAGAAGAAGAAAAAACGUUGGAUGACAAAUUGGUUCUACAGUUUGGAUUUCGCCACGAGAAGAGUGGUUUUAAGUAGAUAAGAAUAUUUAAGACCAACUUUCUAUAAUGCAUAAUCUACAGAGGUGAAGGGACGUUGAAAUGAAAGGAUAGUAUUAGGUAGAUCUAUCACAGCAUUGUCUUACAAGAGAGAAGGGAGGUGAAGGCACGAAAGUAAGUUCAACACGUUUUGGAAAGAAAUGUGGUAGGCGAAGCCCCUACAACGGUUUUGUUUUUGAAAGAAUUACACAGAACCAGAAUUUGGGUCCAUGAGGACUUGAACCCAGGUGGCUGAGUUGUACUUCCACUUCCCUAACCAAGUCAGCUAGACUCACUUCUUUAUAGUUGAUUUUGUAGAUAUAAUAAUUUCUUAAAUAUACCUGGUUAAAGUUUGUUAAGAUUGACUUCACGAAAACUAAUAGGAGCAGAGUGAGUACAUGUUAAAGCAAGUUUGUUCAGCUCAGAAAGAGAGCAUAACUUCCUAAGGAAUAUGGUUUAAGAUCAAAUGCUGUCCUGCUUACCUGGAAAAUGAAGUCAUACAAACUGAAUUAUUUUGUAAGGCCCCAUGAACUUCACAGUUUAUGAUUUACUUAGACCACCAACCAUUGAAAUAGCGUGGAAUGAAUAAAAUAUCAUGUCCUAGGUAUACCCCAAAGCGUUGCUGGGCUUUGAAAGAAAUGACAAUGAUUGCUACACACAAAUAAUACUUGCUUUUAUUUUUAUGACGCUAAAAUGAGCGCGAGGGUAAAACGUUAGUCAUGUUGUCCGGCCAGGCUAAACGUGCAGGUCGGCUGAACUAACUAAUCACGACAAUGAAUUUUAGGGCAAAGACUUACUUCUCGACCUACUACCGUAUUGCAGGCAAUGUUUGAUCAAGCCAAUAGAAAUCUGCCUUACAGCAAAAGGAUUACAACGUUCCAGAGCAGCUUAAGACAGUAAUACAGGGGCCAAAUGCUAGCUUUUGUUUUUGACGGGAUAUGAACUGUUGCUGAGAAAAAAAGGUGCAAGCUAAUGUGCAAAAUAUACUCCUAUUUUAAGGCAAGAAUCAUAUUGUGCCACACAGCAUGAAAGACAAUAUCCAGUAGGUAAGUGAAUCAAGUAAUGAAGGAAAAAAGCACCACCAUAAAUCAUUGUAUCUGAAAUUCAGAACCAUACAUUAUGGUAAUACAGAUUAUGUAAAGAUAAAGCAUACGGAAUCGAAAGCAUAGACUCGAGUGCCUCUAGGCGUGUUAUGAACUGGUAGCUCAAAGGCAGUCACACGCCGAAGCAAAGUUGAAAGGAACAGGAAUUUACCAGGCGAGGAAGACUAUGCUGACCGAUGGGAGGAGGGGCGCUGGACAGAUCGGUAGGAAAAGCGUGGAUCUAAAAUAAGGAUGAGGAAAAUGAUAUGAGAAUGGCUCAAGACGGAGUAGAAGAGAAUGGUGCGGAAGAAAUACCGUGGGGAAGAGUCAAUCGGCAUCGGUCUUCGUGGUUUCCACGGUGAGCUUCUCGUCGGUGCCGCCGCUGGCCGGAUCUGAGCGGGCAAUGAGAAGGAGUGUGGGGGAGGGACGGAUAAGACGAGAAGAAGAGAGGAGAAGGAGAGGAUAAGGGCGCCUGGCCUGGUAGGGUACUCCGCGGUGAGAGUUACCGCGUGAACGGGUUACCACCUAUUGAUGCGAUCGGGCCGUAGCUAGGCCGAGUCUGGGCCGCACAGGGUCAUGUGCUCACUGGGCCUGCAAAAAAAAAUAUUCUGCGAGAUGCUUGGUCGUCUAUGAUUUAUUGGAAAGAAGUAUAUUGGUUUAAAAGUUACUAAAUGGGAGCGAUACAUCUUUAUACCAAGGAUUAUCUAGUGGCUUAGGAUGAAUUUUUUUCGAAACCACAUGAUAUUUGUCUUGGAUGUAAGAACGUAGGUGACUUACUUGUGGUAAACCAUAGACGCUAAUUGCCAUGAAGGAAAUCGGGUGCCCACAUAAAGUUAUAUGUUCAGCUGGCCCUACGACAUUUGAUAAGACUGCGGUUGUACGUGUGACAAAGCAGCGGAAGAUGAAAGCUCCUGUCUGCUUUCAUUGACAAGUUACAACAUAAUUAGAAACAUGGAUAAAUAGAUACAAUGCUCUUCUUUAGCGUUUGUGCAAUGCAAUCCUUGAAAGGACAUAUAAAGUACAAAAAGAGCAGAAAAUGUACAUACCUUUGGACCAAAGUAUUUCACCAAAAAAUCAACAGUCAUUUGUGCGAACAUCACUUCUAAAGAGCUCUUUUUCCUAUGCAUAGACCUUUUUGCCGUGCGAACAUACUCAAGGGGAUCAUUGUGCAAGGCUAUAUAAAAUGGACAGAUGAUGUUGCUAAUUUGAUUCCCGGUCUCUACCUUGGUAACAUAUGUCUGUUCAUAGUAGAAAAGAAAAAAAAAUUAAUUAAUUUAUAUUUCCACAAAACUGUGAUGAAGGGCAUGUUAUAAUGUUUGUGUGGCAUUUAAUUGAUAUUUCUUUCAUAUUUGUUCAGAGAAAAAGAAAGUUCUUACUUGUCGGCUGGAGACUGGCCUUGUGUUCACAGGGAGGAUUGAUCGCAAGCAGAUUCUCUUGGUGUUGAUGUUACCUAAUAUUGAAGACAAGAAAGCAAUAUGCCUAAAUUACAUGUCUACAGAGUACACAUUCGUAGUCAAUGUCAGACAUCUCACUUACAGGAUUUCCUAAAGUAGUACCGUGAAAGAGCUGCUGAAGUCACACCAACUAGCAAGUCAUUCAUAGUCUGCAAAAACGAAAAAGAGAAAGACAUAAGUGACCAUUGAAUCAAAUCAAGAAGUCUGUUUUCGGCAGUAUCGAGUUAAUCAUUAGAAAGUUUAAAUGGUUUUAGUUACGCAGUUCAUGACAGUCUUGAUGAGCUUGACAUCGUCGAGCCUGAGGCUCUGGUGCACCAAGCGCUUGCGGCCGCGAGACUGGCCGCUGUCUGGCACAAGCGUGAACAUCGUGCCUGGAUCUCUCAAGAACAAUACGGUCGCAGCAAGCAACACGAUGUCCACCAGCGUGUGCCAUGCUAGCACAAAGUACGACCAAAGCCACGCAAGGCAAUCGCCUGACAAAAGCCGCGGAGGCUGUGGACACCGCUGGUAGAUGGCGCCAGUGCGUUUGGGCGGCGGCGGCAUGGCCGGCUGCCUCGCCGGGUCGGCCGUGCUGCGCGACGACGCCAUGAGGAGAAUGAUGAUCGACAUGCCGUCGCCGAUGGAGUGGUGCAGGCGGAGCACCGUCGUGGAGGCUGCCUCCGAAGUCGGGAAGUCAAGAAAGUGGAACUCCCAGAGAGGACGGCGCCUGUCCAUCGGGAGCAGGGAUGGAGACGCCACGUAGUCCUCCACGGCCUUUUCUGGGUCAGAGUCCACGGAGGCAAGAUCUAGCCUCGGGACGAUGACGUGGUCGUCCACAUUUACCACUAGGGCUGCAAGAAAAGCUCGAGGCUCGUGAGCCGCUCGAAAUCGACUCGUUUUUUGACUCGACUUGGGAUCGACUCGAAAAGAAAUGAGCUAAGUUUGAACACUUUAUGUAGCUCGGCCGAGAAACGAGCCAAUCUUGAGCCAAUGUUGGCUCGCUCGAUUUUAGCUCGAUAGCUCGACAUAAUAUCAUUAUGUUAUACAAUCAGGCCAUAUAUUAAAUGGAAAUAAGAUAAUUAUUACCAUAUAUGUUCUCCAUAAAUUUUCUCCAUUUAAUUUAUAAACAAACAUGGAAACUUAAUUAAGUGCAGAGAAAAUUUAGGCCUAAUUAUGACACGUGGUCGACUAUGUGUUAAAUAUCUUAUAUUUUUUGGCAAAGGUUCCCAGCAUAUUCGCCUUAAGUUUUUUUGUUCUACAUUCAUAGAUAUAUAAAUUUUUACCAUCUCAUUUAGCUCGGAACUAGCUCGAGAUCGACUCGAGAUCGUUACAAGCUGAGCACGAGUCAUGUUCUAUAGCUCGAUCAUGAGCUUCACUCAGUUUGAGCUCGCUUGAAUUUUCAUAUUAGUUGAGCUGAGCCAAUUCCAACUCGCUCGAGCUCGACUCGUUUGCAGCCCUAUUUACCACCGUUUGCACCCAGCGUGGCUUUCCAUCCUUCGACCCAUCCAUCACCUGGACAUCCACGUGUUAAUAAAGUAUUGGACGUUUGAGGUCGAGGCCAGAAUGAGAAGAAUAAAACAUACAACAAUAUUAAUGACAUCAUCGUAUAGUAUGUAAUAUUGUUGGUAUAUAAUAUGGAUGUCUGAAUUUUUAUACAAGCCAACCCACUACUAUUGGAGAUGCCAUUAGGUGUCAAGUCCAACUAAGUUGGUUUAAACAAUUCAAAAAUAAACAAAAAAUUCCAGCCAAACUGGUACUCCGGCCUAUAUGAUAUCAGACACAUAUAUAAAAAUGAAACAAACGAAGUUGUUAAAAUUACUUGAAUGCUGCGGAAGCGUGGGAACCGGGUAAGCAGUUCUGUUUCGAUGCCUGCGCGGAAGACGGGCAGGUUCACCGGCGUGCAAAGCCCCAUCACGACUAUGAUAUAGACACCCAUCUCCUCGAAGACUCUUCCGGUAGGGCUCAUGGGGUCCUCUGCCGUGGAAUUGUCAGCAGAUUCCAUCUCUGCCGACACACGGACAGAGAGCGAACGGCUUGGCGGAGUGGCUACGUUCACUGUUGCUUCCAUGAUUUUCUAAAUACUAGUUUGAUAAUUGCAUUGGUUCCCGUCUACGUCUACGGCGAUAUAUAUAGGGAUGGAUGGAGCGCGAGUUUCCUGAAUGACUAUACUUGGUUGUUAACUAGAUAGGAAAUGCGGCUUGCCGCACCCCGGCAGCAAGCUGCCGGGUAUAUCUAUAUACAACCACCGAAGCAUCCCAAGUAUGAAAAUCCCACAAACAGAAAAAAUUUCACAUAGAGUGGUACUCCUUCAUGAGAAACUUGUAAAUAGAUGGUCAAAACCAGCAUCUAAUGCACUCAUAUAAAAGCUUAAAUAAAGGACUGUAUGAAUAGCCCAUAGCUCAGUAAUCACACAUACUUAUGUAGUCAAAAUUAUGAAAACCUAAUAGUAAAGCCAGGUUGCUGAUAUAAACCUGGAAGCAUAAGAAUGCAAUCAGACGCAUGAUUUUAACAGACAUAGUACGAAGUUCCAGUAGUAGAUCCAACAUAACCGAGAGUGACAUGGUUCGAUAGGACAUAUUACAUCAUUAGGUUCAUAUAUACAGACCAUUAAGGCCCAGUAGAUAGAUUCGGAAGAACCGACAGUGUCAUGGUUGGAUAGGACACAUACUACAUAGGGCUAUAGAUAGCUGGGAGCAACGACUGGCUCUAACGAUGAUAGCGGUGAUCUGAUUGUUCUUGCAGGGCCAUUAGAAGUGAUCUUCAG
rnacentral:lncRNA from 1 species